rnacentral:rRNA from 2 species
UUGGACGGCCAUAGCGGUGGGGAACACCCGGUCUCAUUCCGAACCCGGAAGUUAAGCCCACCCACGUUCCCGGUUGUACUGCGGUGCGCGAGCCCGCGGGAACCCGGGAUCGCUGUCCGCC